AGAGCAGCUCACAGCCUAGCCUCAUUCAGUGCUCUGAAAAUGAGAAGGAAGACUGAGACUUGAUAUCUUGGGUGCUCUUCUUGUUCCUUGUUGGGAGAAAUUGUACAUUGUUAGCCCUUCACCCAGCUCAAGGCAUAAGAAACCACUUCACAAAGACCUUUGCACCCUGACCUCUACCCUUGCUGCAGUGAAGUGAGAAAAUGUGAAGUCUUUGGCUGGUGUUCACAGCUUCCCUUCCA
rnacentral:lncRNA from 12 species